AAGUAGCUUCUAACCAUGCCAGUUAUACACCGUCGCUACGCUCGUAACCUCCUCGACUUGGAUUCAACGGAUAAUGUCGAGUAUAAUGAAGAUUUACAACAAUCCUACGAGUUCAACUUUACAUAAUACAUUUUAAGAAGAAAGAAAAACAACUCGAUUGAUAAAAGUACAAAAUGAAGAAGCAUCUGUAAUGUGUUUCAGAAAGCUGCGAUUGGAUUUACUUUGCUGAAGAAAGAAAGAAAGAAA
rnacentral:lncRNA from 1 species